GAGCGUCUGUAAGCGGCUUCUUAUUUCAUUUUAGUGAUGUUAAGAUAGGCGUUUUUAUUAUUUUAUCUGUAUCUGCUGCUACUAUGGUGAGAUGAUUUCUUAGGCCUAGCACAGACGAAUGAUAUAAUCAUCAUUAUCAUCAAUCAUCGUCGUCGUUAUCUGGAUACUCGCGGGAGUGGAGCAACUUUUCCAUUAACAACAUUCUGAUGCUGACCCAGAGAAGGGAGUGGUAGCCCCAAAGAUCCACUGUCCCCAUCAGACAAGAAUCUUAUUUUGUUCAGACACAUCACCUUUGACUGACUGGGAUCUUGAUCUUCAGACACCUGAUAUUAUGCAAAUAUUUUAAUUUUUUUUGGAGCUCUAGAUUAAAACAAGACACAGUUCACAAACACACAAGAGGUUGUACUUUAUUCUUAUUAGUCCAUACUGAUCUUGGAUUAGCAUACCAACAACAUAUGAAUGUUAAAGUGAUAGUUCACCCCAAAAAAAUUCUCAUAUAUUUUACUCACCCUUAUGCCGUCCAUGAUGCAUAUUACUUUCUUUCUACAGAUAAACAUGAAUUAGGAUUUUUAGGAAAAUAAUGCAUGUCUUCGAGUCCUAAAGACACAGUAAUCCAUGCGACCCCAGUGGAUGAAUCAAUGUCUUCUGAAGUGAAACAAUAGAUGAGAAAAAUACUAAUAAUUUGAACUGUUUUAAUUAUUAACAAUCGUUUCCCACCAACCAUCAUACGUGUAUGGGUUACAGUCCACUUAUGAGAUGGACACAGAGAUGGACUAUUUUCUUAAAGAUAUUUGUGCUUAUGUGGAGAAUGAAAGUCAUACGGUCAAACCAAAAUGUAUUCAGACAACAUGAACAUUUCAUUCCAUUCAUUAAUACAGUUUAUUCUGUAUAAUU